rnacentral:rRNA from 1 species
GUUAGGAAUAUUGGACAAUGGGCGCAAGCCUGAUCCAGCCAUGCCGCGUGAGUGAUGAAGGCCUUAGGGGUGUAAAGCUCUUUCAGUGGGGACGAUAAUGACGGUACCCACAGAAGAAGCCCCGGCUAACUUCGUGCCAGCAGCCGCGGUAAUACGAAGGGGGCUAGCGUUGUUCGGAUUUACUGGGCGUAAAGCGCACGUAGGCGGAUCGUUAAGUCGGGGGUGAAAUCCUGGAGCUCAACUCCAGAACUGCCUUCGAUACUGGCGAUCUUGAGUCCGGAAGAGGUGAGUGGAACUCCUAGUGUAGAGGUGGAAUUCGUAGAUAUUAGGAAGAACACCAGUGGCGAAGGCGGCUCACUGGUCCGGUACUGACGCUGAGGUGCGAAAGCGUGGGGAGCAAACAGGAUUAGAUACCCGAGUAGUCC